AGUUGAGUUGAGUUUUAAUUUUUAAGGGCACGAAAGAAUACGCCCUAGGGGUGUUCCAAGGUGCAGUGUGUUCUCCUCUGGACAGCAACAUGGAGAUUCUUCUUUUCAGUCCAAACAUGCCUCCAAAGCAGUCCAAACUCACUUUUACUUCCUAUUUUAUCAAAAUACAGUUGCAGAAUCAGUUUUUUGGUGUUUCUUAUUCCUAAAGGGAUUUAUUUAGUCUUCCCAUUCUAUCUAGGUUUAGCUAUUUUCCUAUUUCGUUUAGAAUUCCUAUUCUAUUUUGGAGCUAUCUAAACUUCCUAAUUAGUAGCAUUAUAUUCCUAUUGUGUUCAGGCUUUGAUCCAUGAAGGAGGAGAAUUUUGGAUUGGGAGAGAAAAAAAUUAUCUUUGAGACUCAAACCCUAAUCUAAAAUGAUGAAGGAGAAUAUGGGAGAAAAAUAGCUUUGGAACUCAAAUCUUAGGCUUUGAUACCAUGUUAAAAUUUCGAAUGAUGGAAAAGAUAGCAGAAAAAUAACAAAAGAAAGAUUUAUGUGGUUUGGCCACCGAGAGCUUACAUCCAUGGACAUAAAACUUCAAAGGGUUAAAUUUCAUUCACUGUCUUUUUACAUAAUACAUAAGAUUCUAUAUAUAUAAAGGAAGGUAAAGAUAUACGGCAUGACAUCAAUAAAAUAUAAAUCACUCCUAAGCCAUUAUUUUACUAAUCAAAUGCAUGAUUUUCUCAUAAUCAUGAGAUUCUUCAAUAUGAGACAUCCCAUGAAUUAAACGAAAAUCUCAUCAAUUCCAGCAGGUACCAUUCUACAGAAGUCAAUAUCAGACACCAGUGUUCAUACAAAAUAAAAUAACAUCCCAACCAGGUGUUUGAUAAAACUGAAAAUGAGUACCCAAACCUUGAGAUAUUAAUAAUUUUAAUACCAGGGAUUUAAGAACUGAACUGGAAUUGAAUUAUUUGAACUUAAAAAUAAUUAGAGAAUUCAAUUAUUUUGACAUAAAAUAACUAUAUUUGGAAAAAAAAAAAAUCAAAUGAUUAAGAUAAUCAAAGUAGUGAUAGUAAUGGCAGUGAUAAUGGUGUUAAUAUUGAUAGAGAAUUUGUUGUGGUGUGGUGGUAAUAGAGAAAGAUCCAUGAUGAAGGUGAUGGUUAAGAAAAAUCACUAUUAAAUUAAAACAUUUAAGAUGAUAACUGAUUUAAAAAAAAAAAGUUUUGAAAAUUGGUAAAGGAAAAAAAAAAAAAA
rnacentral:misc_RNA from 1 species